ACGCUGGCGGCGUGCCUAAUACAUGCAAGUAGAACGCUGAAGAGAGGAGCUUGCUCUUCUUGAAUGAGUUGCGAACGGGUGAGUAACGCGUAGGUAACCUGCCUUGUAGCGGGGGAUAACUAUUGGAAACGAUAGCUAAUACCGCAUAACAAUGGGUGACACAUGUCAUUUAUUUGAAAGGGGCAAUUGCUCCACUACAAGAUGGACCUGCGUUGUAUUAGCUAGUAGGUGAGGUAACGGCUCACCUAGGCGACGAUACAUAGCCGACCUGAGAGGGUGAUCGGCCACACUGGGACUGAGACACGGCCCAGACUCCUACGGGAGGCAGCAGUAGGGAGUCUUCGGCAAUGGGGGCAACCCUGACCGAGCAACGCCGCGUGAGUGAAGAAGGUUUUCGGAUCGUAAAGCUCUGUUGUAAGUCAAGAACGAGUGUGAGAGUGGAAAGUUCACACUGUGACGGUAGCUUACCAGAAAGGGACGGCCAACUACGUGCCAGCAGCCGCGGUAAUACGUAGGUCCCGAGCGUUGUCCGGAUUUAUUGGGCGUAAAGCGAGCGCAGGCGGUUUGAUAAGUCUGAAGUUAAAGGCUGUGGCUCAACCAUAGUUCGCUUUGGAAACUGUCAAACUUGAGUGCAGAAGGGGAGAGUGGAAUUCCAUGUGUAGCGGUGGAAUGCGUAGAUAUAUGGAGGAACACCGGUGGCGAAAGCGGCUCUCUGGUCUGUAACUGACGCUGAGGCUCGAAAGCGUGGGGAGCGAACAGGAUUAGAUACCCUGGUAGUCCACGCCGUAAACGAUGAGUGCUAGGUGUUGGAUCCUUUCCGGGAUUCAGUGCCGCAGCUAACGCAUUAAGCACUCCGCCUGGGGAGUACGACCGCAAGGUUGAAACUCAAAGGAAUUGACGGGGGCCCGCA
rnacentral:rRNA from 1 species